UACGAAGGGGGCUAGCGUUGCUCGGAAUUACUGGGCGUAAAGGGCGCGUAGGCGGAUACUUAAGUCGGGGGUGGAAGCCCGGGGCUCAACCUCGGAAUUGCCUUCGAUACUGGGUAUCUUGAGUUCGGGAGAGGUGAGUGGAAUGCCGAGUGUAGAGGUGAAAUUCGUAGAUAUUCGCAAGAACACCAGUGGCGAAGGCGGCUCACUGGCCCGGUACUGACGCUGAGGUGCGAAAGCGUGGGGAGCAAACAGG
rnacentral:rRNA from 1 species